UACGUAGGGGGCAAGCGUUGUCCGGAAUUAUUGGGCGUAAAGAGCGUGUAGGCGGUCCGGUAAGUCAGCUGUGAAAGUCAAGGGCUCAACCCUUGAAUGCCGGUUGAUACUGUCGGGCUAGAGUCCGGAAGAGGCGAGUGGAAUUCCCGGUGUAGCGGUGAAAUGCGCAGAUAUCGGGAGGAACACCAAUGGCGAAGGCAGCUCUCUGGGACGGUACUGACGCUGAGACGCGAAAGCGUGGGGAGCGAACAGG
rnacentral:rRNA from 1 species